AAACCAUUUCCUCUGAUGCUCUUUCAUUCAUUUCUUAUUUCAGAGUCUGCUGCCAACAGUUUUCUGACUCAGAUUGACACAGUCAAGUCUGUUAGUCUUGGAGGGACUGUGAACAUCGGAGCCACAGGGAGUUCAGAUAUUGGUGCUGACCUCAGUUGGUACCUUCAGAAACCUGGACAGGCUCCCAAGCUUCUUAUAUACUAUGCAUCAACUCUAUAUUCAGGAACACCAGCUCGGUUUAGUGGCAGUGGAAGCAGCUCUGACUUCUCUUUGACCAUCAGUGGAGUUCAGAGUGAAGAUGCAGCAGUUUACUACUGUCAGAGCUACCAUGUAGUAAGCAGAGCAGAUGUGUUGACUUUCGGUGGAGGAACCAAACUCGUCAGUAACUUGGGUGUGGUGCGGCCCACCCUGACCGUCCUCCCCCCCUCCAGUGAAGAGCUGCAGCAGGGCAGUGCCACUGUGGUGUGUCUGGCCAGCGGGGGCUUCCCCUCAGCCUGGAGCCUGGGCUGGAAGGUGGGGGGCAGCAGCAGCUCCUCAGGGGUGUCUCACAGCCCGGGGGUCCUGGGGAGGGGCGGCCACUACAGCUGGAGCAGCACCAUGAGCCUCCCUGCAGAUCAGUGGAGGAAGGCGGGCUCAGUGAGCUGUGAGGCCAGUCUGACCGGACAGAGCCCUGUCGCUCAAACCCUGGACCCUGACCGCUGCUCGGAGUAGAGAGACGACCGGAUGGAGUCAUUGUGCUCUACUGUGGGUCCGUGUGAUUUACAUGUGUUCUACUGCAGCUCUGCAUGUCUUCAUGUCUUUUCUUCAACUCAUUAUGACAGUCCAAUGCUGUAUUGUGCUACUUUUGAAACAAGAAUAAAUAUUUCAUGUUCUCAUGUCAUUUGUUUUUCACAUUUCUAUUUUUACUUUACUAAAAUAAAAUAUAUCAUCACCAA